rnacentral:rRNA from 1 species
AACGAACGCUGGCGGCAGGCUUAACACAUGCAAGUCGAACGGAUCCUUCGGGAUCAGUGGCGGACGGGUGAGUAACGCGUGGGAACCUACCCUGGGGUGGGGAAUAACCUUGGGAAACCGAGGCUAAUACCGCAUACGCCCUAUUGGGGAAAGACUAUGUUGCCCUGGGAUGGGCCCGCGUCCGAUUAGCUAGUUGGUGGGGUAAUGGCCUACCAAGGCUGCGAUCGGUAGCUGGUCUGAGAGGAUGAUCAGCCACACUGGGACUGAGACACGGCCCAGACUCCUACGGGAGGCAGCAGUGGGGAAUAUUGGACAAUGGGGCAACCCUGAUCCAGCCAUGCCGCGUGAGUGAAGAAGGCCUUAGGGUUGUAAAGCUCUUUCACCCGUGACGAUGAUGACGGUAGCGGGAGAAGAAGCCCCGGCUAAUUCCGUGCCAGCAGCCGCGGUAAU